UAGAGCAAAUCUCAAAAAAACAAUCUCAGUUCAGACUGCAGGCUGCAACUCGCCUGCACGAAGUCGGAAUUGCUAGUAAUCGUAGGUCAGCAUACUACGGUGAAUACGUUCCCGGGCCUUGUACACACCGCCCGUCAAACCAUGAGAGUUGGCAACACCCGAAGUCGGUAGUCUAACCGCAAGGAGGACGCCGCCGAAGGUGGGGUUGAUGAUUAGGGUUAAGUCGUAACAAGGUAGC
rnacentral:rRNA from 1 species